GCCCGGUUAGCUCAAUUGGUCAGAGCGUCGGACUUUUAAUCCGAAGGCUGCGAGUUCGACCCUCGCAUCGGGCG